rnacentral:rRNA from 1 species
UAGCAUAUCAAUAAGCGGAGGAAAAGAAACCAACAGGGAUUGCCCUAGUAACGGCGAGUGAAGCGGCAACAGCUCAAAUUUGAAAUCUGGCGUCUUUGGCGUCCGAGUUGUAAUUUGCAGAGGGCGCUUUGGCAUUGGCAGCGGUCCAAGUUCCUUGGAACAGGACGUCACAGAGGGUGAGAAUCCCGUACGUGGUCGCUAGCCUUUACCGUGUAAAGCCCCUUCGACGAGUCGAGUUGUUUGGGAAUGCAGCUCUAAAUGGGAGGUAAAUUUCUUCUAAAGCUAAAUACUGGCCAGAGACCGAUAGCGCACAAGUAGAGUGAUCGAAAGAUGAAAAGCACUUUGGAAAGAGAGUUAAAAAGCACGUGAAAUUGUUGAAAGGGAAGCGCUUGCAGCCAGACUUGCCUGUAGUUGCUCAUCCGGGUUUCUACCCGGUGCACUCUUCUAUAGGCAGGCCAGCAUCAGUUUGGGCGGUUGGAUAAAGGUCUCUGUCAUGUACCUCCUUUCGGGGAGAACUUAUAGGGGAGACGACAUGCAACCAGCCUGGACUGAGGUCCGCGCAUCUGCUAGGAUGCUGGCGUAAUGGCUGUAAGCGGCCCGUCUUGAAACACGGACCAAGGAGUCUAACAUCUAUGCGAGUGUUUGGGUGUCAAGCCCGAGCGCGUAAUGAAAGUGAACGGAGGUGGGAACCUUUCGGGGUGCACCAUCGACCGAUCCUGAUGUCUUCGGAUGGAUUUGAGUAAGAGCAUAGCUGUUGGGACCCGAAAGAUGGUGAACUAUGCUUGAAUAGGGUGAAGCCAGAGGAAACUCUGGUGGAGGCUCGCAGCGGUUCUGACGUGCAAAUCGAUCGUCAAAUUUGGGCAUAGGGGCGAAAGACUAAUCGAACUAUCUAGUAGCUGGUUCCUGCCGA